AUGAAGUGUUGACAAAGCCCCCCGUCCAGCCGAGGUGACGCCAAAGGAUAUAGUCCGGCUGGAUCAUUUUCCUGCGCACAAAACAAAUAAUGCAAACCGGAGAUAAUAGUAAUAAUAAUAAAAAUAAAAAAAAUCGUUGCAUAACAAAUAAUUUAUGCAAAGUGAGUAAUAAAAAAAAUAUGGCCUGGCGCCAAAGUCAAUGUCGAUGCAGGGCGGCGGCGUGAUGCGGUAAAGGUAUGGCAAGGCCUGAAUUCACAGGUCGGUUCGAGUUCCGGAUGCGGCGUUCGCCGGACUAUGUACGGAAACUGACCGAACCACCAUGCGACCGUCGUUAAUGCGGUCACCAUUUGAUAGACCUGCGUACAUAUGACAGACAAACCGGAGUAAUAAUUCAUUGGGAAAAAUGAACCCUAACAAGCAAAAAAUACUAGGAUUAAUAGCACCUGGCUUAUUUAUUAUAGCAAUCCAAAGAAAGGUGAUUCCCAAAAUUGAGACUCGAUCCGCACACCUAUCGCCUGAUGGGUGAUAAAGCAACGGCAUGAUGAUGCUGGCAAAGGUUGGCUCGGCGAGGUAAAGCCCUCGGUCCAGCUAACGUGAAGGAGCUGGUCGGUCAGCGACGCCGAAGUCUCCGGAGUAGGUCGAUGAAGAGAUGAUGAAGCCCCCGGUCCAGCGAUGCAAGUCGUGACGUGGUCGAUGCCGGCUUGAUGAAGUGACCAUGUGGCGAUGUAGGUGUGCCCGCUCCGUGUAAUCUAUAGGGCGGCGAUGUUGGUGACGAUUUAUCUUUCACGAUGCCGAACUAUUGUUCGGCCGGCCGAGAUGAUGAUACGAAGAAAUUAAGCUCGGCUCAACAAAGCGACGACGUGUCUAACGCAGGUCGGCCGCCGUGGAGUGAUGUUGUCGGGCUGGUUUGACACCGGCACGAUGGUGAAGUUCGUAUUGCAAGAAUACUUUUAAUACUAUUAAAAAUAAAACACAACACCCCAUACGAAAACUUCCUUCAAAAAAGAUGUCCGAGAUCCCGUUCAUAAAGAAGAUGAAUUCUGGUCGGAUCCGUUCUCGCGCAGAAAACAGAUCCAAAAGGUGAUGCACUAAUCGGAAUUGCUCAUCACAACAAAGUUCAAGUAAACUGCAAAUUUGCAGUAGAGCAAAACCCUGACAUUUCACUAUUUUGAUCACACUAUUGGGAUCACAAAUUUAGUGAAUUUAGUAACUGGAUAUUUAUCACCCCACUUUUCAGCAUAUAGUUUCAUGUUUAUUUUACUUCAGAGAGACCAACACACGAUGGGGAAAAGUAGGGACAGGGAGGAAGGUAGAAAGGCAGCAUAAACAUCUCAUCUUUCACGGCUGGUUAUGGGCCGAGACCAAAAGGCAGUUGUUUCUCAAUUUGACUAAAAAUGGUCUGCCACAACCAAAAACAAACAAAUUGGCCUGCUACAGAGACAUUAGUUAGUAAGCAAACAAUGUCAAUACUAUUAUUAGUCUGCAAUUACAUCAGUCUACAAAUUCACUUAAUAAAUAAUGCUUAUACCGUCAGCCAACCACAAAUGCAAGGAAUUCAAAUAAACAGUGAUAUGAGCUUGAUGAAAAACAGAUUUAUAACAACCAAACUAAUAAAUCAUGGCAGACAAAAAAUAAAACGGUGUUACUGGCUUAUAUAAAAUCAUGCCAAGACAUGUAACACUUCUCAUGUAAGCCACCACAUGAGUCGCUGGUACUAAUAUCAUGCCAACACAUGCCCGAAAGAGAAAUAUGGAAUGGCUAAACUCUCUUCAAAGAUGUCUCAUUAAGGUUUAUAUAACUGCAGCCGAUUUGAGAGAAAUCAAUAUAAAUCAACAGCUAGCAGCUAGCCAUACAUAGUAUUGUGCAGGAAGACAUUUCUUCUAAAAGAACACUGCAAAUAUUUGAUUGCUUGGGGAAUAACUUUAGGAGCACUGGGAUUACAUCCUAGCCAAAUUGAAUACAACUCUAUAUUGAAAAAAAAGCAUGUAUAUGUGGGGUGAUUAAACUUUAAUUGGAUAGGGUUGAUCAUAUUUGUGCCUUUCUGAAGAAAUAGAAACUAAGCCAUCAACACAAUCACGGGAUCAAAUAAUAAAUGACCUAAACCAAGAUUGAUAUGCAGAAAGACACAACCGAGUCGCAUAAUUGACUUGUUUCUAUUAUUAAUUGUUUUUUAUUGCAACACUAAAUAUGUGGUUGUAACUACAUAGUUAUAACCUAACUUACAUGACAAAAAUAGAACACGGAUCUAUGAUUCUCCAAGGAGUAAUUAGUUUCCCUAAAAAAAACAAUAAUUCAUAGUCCAAUAGUAGCUGAACUGAUAGGGAGCCAUUCUUUCCUAGCGAUAUAUGGAUCAAUCAAUAGCCCUGUUCAAGAAUUCAUCCGAUUAACCACUUAACUUGCCAAUUAACCCCUACUCGUAGGGUCACCGAGUAGCCGAUUAACUGAUUAAUCACCCGAGUAAUUGAUUAAAUGGCCGAUUAACUUGCCGAUUAGCCUAUUAAUCCCCUACUCGUCAGCCAACCGAGCAGCUACAAGUUAACGAUUUCCUCAACAAUGAUCAAUAGAGAGAGGGGUGUCAGGGACUCACUGUUUGAGGAUGUAAGCGGGUAAAAGGGGUGACCUUGCCUCAGCAGGGCUCAGUCGCACCCAGAAUAACAUUUUGUCAGUUUUAUUAGUAAUACUAAUAUUUGGUUAAUGGGGCACCAAAGGAAUCUCCUAUAUGAUUUAGUGAUUAAAGAAUAAUAUUAAACAAUGAAUCUCCCAUUGGUUCACAAAGUAUGCAAUUUUUCUCUCAACUGAAAUGACAACCACAUUUUGUCAGCGAUAUUUGGUUAAUGGAGCACCAACAAAUCUCCUAGAGUAUUUCAUUUGGAGGUUAAAGGGAAUAAGAAUAAAGGAUGUAAAAUAACCAGUGACACCUUAGCUCUCACUACACACUUGGCAAACAAAUACAUUAGGUGACUACUGAUUAUCUGUAGCUAAAUCUUAUCUGAAGUACAACCAAGAUGAACAGAAACAUUUCACCUCACUUUUGGUGGAAAAAUACUCUUCUCUGAUUGAUCAUUCAGUUACACAGUGAUCCGCUUAACACAUCGCAGGUUGAUCUGCAAUCACAUAAGCAAGCAUUUGCAUUAGAACAAAAGGAAGAAUGAAAUGUUUGAUCUUUCAUAUGGUACUAUUGAUCCUAGAGCAACGCUAAAUAGGAGAUUAGUAACACACAUCACUCUCCCGGCAAGAAGCAGCUCUCCCGGCAGUAACACGCAUCACUCUCUCGGCAGAAGGUGACUCUUCUUCAGAUUGUUGACCAUAUUCAUUAUUCACAAUAACGAAGUACAACUCCAAAUCAGAAAGGUCGUCGAUAAUGCUGAGCAUGGAAAGGUUUCUGUAGUUACCAUUAAUGUAAUCAAUGAGUACCAACUAUUGCUUGAUGCAUAUAUAAACAAUCAGAAGGUUGUCUACCUAGAUUUCUUCCUACCCAACUUUCCUUUAUCAGCAAGGAGGAACUGUUUUUUUCAUAUAUAAACAAUAAGCAGGUGACCUAAUGGACUAUGCAACCCAUAGAUUAAUUAUGCAAGAAGUUACCAUUCCUAUAAUUAGCAAGCAUCAAUCAUUGUUUGGUGCAUCUACAAACAAUGAGGAGGCGGUCUAAUUCUGGAGCACAUAGAUUAAUUAUCUGUGUAGUCAGACUUCCUCUGUUAGGAAGCAGCAACUACUACCCGCCGCACAUAUUUCUCCCAAAUCACUAACCUGAACAGGUAUUACAGUACACUGAAAAUUGGGCACACCCUACAGACAUGGAUAUGAACCAAAAUGCAUAUAUCUCUCCCAAAGCACUAAACAGGAAGCAAACCACCAGGGAAACCAUAAGUACAUAUGGCCAGCCAUAUCUUAUGAAGGUAUCCUAUGCUACAAAGACACAAUACCCAAAAAGACAUUUGGAUUGCAGUGCAGCCUCACAAUUGAAGCCGAAAACAUCAAAGAUUAAGCAUGUCAAGAGUGCACAUUUUUAUCGGAUAGAAUCUCACUUGAAGGCGUGACAACAUGUUUCCUUGCACAACAUAGGUCAAUCCACAACCAAAAUGAACCAAAUGUUCACAAUAUCCUUUCUUGUAUGCAUCAAGCAGAAUUCAAAAUCUCAUGGAGGUUCUGUACCAUUUGCCUUUGGCCACCACCUGGACAGUACACAACCAAAUUUAGCUGAAGUUUAUAAUAAACAUGCAUGCAACGAUAGCAGCCUAUAUUAAUUUUAUACCUGGCUUACAGGAAACCAGAAGCUAUGUACUGGCAAUUAACCAGAAAAGGAGGAGAAAUUCAGAAAAAUCUAGUAUGUAACCUAGUUUAACAAUGCUUAUAUCCCCAAUCCAAGCUCUACAUAUUUCAGCUCACUAAUGCUUACAAAAAAUAAAAAAUAGUACCCUCAUUUUGGAACUUGAAUCUGCAAACAUGGUGUCUAACUAAAAAUCAGAGUCAUGGUUAAGAUAAAGGAGCACCUCUGGAACGAGAGCGGUGGCUAAAAGCAUCAGACCACCAAAACAUCCCAUAGCACACAGUCCAACAGCGAACCAUCUCCUGAACCUAAUUAAGUAAUGUAUAUAUGAAUCUAAACUACAUGACAUAAGCUGAAGAACAACACGAGCAUGCAGAUCCAACUCUGUGAAUUUGCAAACAAAAGGCCCAAAAAAUUCACCUCCAGAUGAGGUCUCCGAGAAGCAUAAAGUCGCCAUCCUUGUCUCCGUUCCGCUCACCGCCACGAGACUCAUCUCCUCGUACCCACCCUGCAUCCAAGAGCCAAAUCGUCAGAAACCCACCAGAAGAACAACACAUAACAUGCUCGUCUCUGCUGCUAUUGAGUACAUGAACAGGAUAUGUUCUUGGCUGCAAACUAUUAACUUUUUAGGAAUUUUAAGCAACAUUAUAGAAGCUGAAAUACAACCAGAUCUAUUUUAACAAUAGGUUUAUGAGAUUAUGGUGUGCCUUUUCUUAUCUAUCUGUCACAAUAUAUUAUAUAAUGGGUACAUGCUAUCUGGAACAUGAAAGACAAGGGAAAAUUAAAAGGGUCAACUGUUAUACAAUACAUAUGUACCCAGAGCCAUUAACUUAAAAGGGUCAAUAUAUUUUCUACACUAUGCUUUGUGAAAUUAACUCUUUUAUGUACCUCCCUCACAAACAUUCACGGUUACCAAAUCUAGAUGAUUUUUAUUUGAACUUUUAGAACUGAAUACCAAGAGCAUACAUGCCUCUUACUUUGCAACCUUAGCCAAACAUAGUGGAGAGAAUACGAGGAGUGCUGUAUAGGAAAAAAAUUAAGUUAAUAGCUGUCCCUGCAGUUUCCAUCAGAUUAACAUUAAAACUCAUCAAAAAGUAAGGAAUAGCGAGCCAAAUGUGAAUUGUAUUACAACACAAGGUUUUAAAUUGUGCGGUCCGAUAAAAAUGAAGUUAAAUGAUGUGUGCCCUAUGGUAUGCAGACUGUUUCAUCCUUAGAAAUUGUAAUGCAAAAUCAGGCUGUCUGCUAGCAUAAAGGUGGCUUUUAAAUAUUAGAAUGCCACUUCAAAGUUGAAGUAAGUAUGAACCCACAGAAAAUCACCACUACCCAACCAUAAACAGAGAGGAAGUAAUAUGAGCUGAGAUCUUCGAUGGCAUAAAAAAAUUUAGAGCAUAUUUGACAUAUCAUUUUGAAGUUAAAAAUAGCAAAUAAGCUACAGCCAAGAAAGAACACAUUAAGUAGCUAGAGAGUAUACACUACUUUCUAAUAGGAAAGAAGGUAAUUUACCCGGCAAGGUAUUGUCACUGAUUCCAACAUGAAAGAACAAAGAAACCUGGGAUAAUCCCAACCACAUCUGUCCAUACAAAAAACACAAGUCAAUACACCAAAGGCAUGCCCAAUACAAAAGGAGCAACACGAUAGGCAUCAUAAAAAGUACCUGUGAAACGCUCAGGCGUGUUUGUAGGCCUUGGGAGCUGAUUAAUUGGAGUCAGGACAUAGGUGCAGAAAGGAAAUUCUGCUUCUAGACCCUCCCAUCACGCAACAGUUGUAUACCUAGUGAACUUAAUCAUGUAUUGACUCUCCACCAGCCCGAAGACAUACUUCUUGAGAAAGACCAGAAACUUGCGACAGAUCAUCAACCCACACUCUUGGGGGACACAUAUAAAUUGGUUAACAAAUUUCUCAGGCAUCUCUGCAUACAUAUGGUUACCCUGCGAGGAAAAGAGUAUGGUUCAACACAGGAGAAAUAACAGACCAUUAAAUAACAGGACAAGAAAGACAGGAAACCAGAUCAAAGAAUACAUGUACCUGCAUCUAGUAUAACCACAUCCAUCUCCUUGAUAGGUCCAUUUUCGGUUCCACCAUGGUGAUGCCACAGACGUGAUAUGCACACACAGGGUAUGCUAGAGCGAGUUACACGGACGCACUUCAGACAGUGCAUUGAAUGUUAUCUACAACAAAUAGAAAAUGCAAAAAAAUGCAAAGACUAAUCAGAGCAGGCCAUGGUCUAGCAAUCAUGAUAAGCACAUAACAUAUUGUACAGACCCAAAUAUAAUCAAAGGCAGCAUGCCAACACACACAUCAAAGAAAGACACACCACAUGUAAUCGCGACAAUAAAGGUAAAUAGUGAUCCUACCUCCUAAGUAGGAUCAAUUAGUUCAUCACAUCAUUAUACCAAGAGCACACACACACUGGCAAAUCAUCUAAAAGGCUGAUCCAACAAAAGAGGGUACACAGUGCAGAAGAACGAGGCCAGCAAAAGAGGGUCCUUGCACAAUAAAUAGCAAUAGAACCGACCAACAAUC
rnacentral:lncRNA from 1 species